GACGAACGCUGGCGGCGUGCUUAACACAUGCAAGUCGAACGGAAAGGCCCUGCUUUUGUGGGGUGCUCGAGUGGCGAACGGGUGAGUAACACGUGAGUAACCUGCCCUUGACUUUGGGAUAACUUCAGGAAACUGGGGCUAAUACCGGAUAGGAGCUCCUGCUGCAUGGUGGGGGUUGGAAAGUUUCGGCGGUUGGGGAUGGACUCGCGGCUUAUCAGCUUGUUGGUGGGGUAGUGGCUUACCAAGGCUUUGACGGGUAGCCGGCCUGAGAGGGUGACCGGCCACAUUGGGACUGAGAUACGACACAGACUCCUACGGGAGGCAGCAGUGGGGAAUAUUGCACAAUGGGCGGAAGCCUGAUGCAGCAACGCCGCGUGCGGGAUGACGGCCUUCGGGUUGUAAACCGCUUUCGCCUGUGACGAAGCGUGAGUGACGGUAAUGGGUAAAGAAGCACCGGCUAACUACGUG
rnacentral:rRNA from 1 species